UUCCAAGUUAGGUCAUGAGUAUAACUUCCUUUAAGCUCUCAGUUUUCAAGUUACUUCAUAAAUAUAACCUCCUUUAAGCUCUCAGUUCCCAAGUUACGUCAUAAAUAUAACUUCCUUUCGACUCAGUAUUUAUUUAUUCUCAAUGGAGAUUCUUUAAUUUGUAUUCAGCCUAUUUGCUAAGCUUUGUACAAAACGUAGCAGCAUAAAGCGCAAAUGAAAUAAAUUAAAAGGGUGAUACUAUAUAUUUCUACCUACCCACUCUGUCUAAAAGAAAUCACUAGUCAUACAUUUUCAUUUUCGGUUAAUUGUAAAUGCCUCUCCAAUAACAAGUGGAUAACAAUGGCUUUGUCUAUUAGUGGAUUCUCUCUCGUUAUUUCUUUUCUGGCCCCACGAGUCUCGAAAGUAUGAAACAAAGGGACAAUUGUUUCGUUUUCUGCCUUAAAAUUUUAUUUUUAGUUUCCUGCCCAUUUAGUCAUGGGAAUGCAUGUGUUCCUUUCUAAUUACGUCAUCAAAAAAGUCGUAGAUCGAAGUGUUAGAAACAAUGAAGAGUAGAAAAAAAAAAAGAAGUUUGCGCCGCAGUCGGUCUGGGAACUUUUUGUUUCUCCACGUAUUCUGGCUAGAAGAACAGGAGUGUGGGGGAGAUAAGGUGUCUGGAUUACACAAUUGUGAAAAAUUGCAGAUGUGAACAAGCAUGCCUACAGGUGUGAGACUGGGGACUUGUGUUCACCGCCUGCUGGACGUAAUCUUUUUCUUUUAACACCGUGUGCUAAAAUACAGAGAGAGAGAGAGAGAGAAAGAGAGAGAGAGAGAAUGUAAUAGAAAGUCCACCUCCGAUGAUAGACGUAGACGGCGAAAAGAGAGCCUAAAAUCGAAAUCGACCUCCGCCUAGCAACGGUUAGGUCUGCGCUGGAUGCGGCACAAUCUAUAGGACACAGAUGGGACUGCGUAGCCAACUAAAAUACUUCACUCCUUGUUAAUGUUCGGACUCGAAGUAAAGGCUUUUAUUAUUAUAUUAUUAUUAUUAUUUGUAAACUAUCUAUUAACUUUAAUAGAGAUGAGGUAAUAGUUCCAUCUGUUGAAGCAGAGUUCACGCACAGGCCGGCCAGCAGUUUACGAGGAUACUGUGUGUUCUACACAACUUAGUGAGAAUGUCGAUCUCGAGUGAAAGCCAUUGAGUUAGAAGUCUGUCAGAGGCGUGCUGGAAUGACUAAUCCACAUCCUUGGUAGAUCUAGAAGUUAGUAGCGAGUAAGUGAUGAUUUCAAUCAGCUUGCGUCAGAUCCGUGACUAACUCUAAACCCCAUCGAGACAACCAGCAGUCUACCUCGCCACCCCAAGUCUAUAUGUUACUCAAGUGUCCGCCCCCACCCCCAACGUUCAUAUUGUUCUCAUACUUAAGCAGUUCACCUAAGUGUGUGCGUGUGUGGAUGCGUGUGGAUUUGUGAGUUUAUAUGUGUGUGUGUGUUUGAGGGUUGGGAGGGGGGAGAUGAACUGACACUUAUUAUUUUAUUUGGAAAGACAAAAUAUAGAUAUUAAAUUUGAUUAGUUCUUUUUAAAGACACAAUGGUCAAUGCAAUGAUAUUGACCUAUAUUUUAAUAUAGAGAUAUAGAGUGUGGUCCAUAGUGUAGCCAAUAGAAUGCUUCAAUAGUCACUAGACUGACAUAUAGGAAAGUAUACAAACAAAAAAAAAAGCUUUGUCAUGCAGCUAUUGAAUUUCUAUAAAUUUGGUUUCGUCACGACACAACAAUGUUGUAGACAAAUCAGACGAGAAGUUUUAGUCUCAUUGUAAUUAGGCUUACUAGCCCCCCCCCCCCCCCCCA